rnacentral:rRNA from 1 species
CAGUGAGGAAGGUAGGAGUAUGUUAAUAGCAUAUUCAUUUGACGUUAGCUGCAGAAGAAGCACCGGCUAACUCCGUGCCAGCAGCCGCGGUAAUACGGAGGGUGCGAGCGUUAAUCGGAAUUACUGGGCGUAAAGCGCAUGCAGGUGGUUUGUUAAGUCAGAUGUGAAAGCCCGGGGCUCAACCUCGGAAUUGCAUUUGAAACUGGCAAACUAGAGUACUGUAGAGGGGGUAGAAUUUCAGGUGUAGCGGUGAAAUGCGUAGAGAUCUGAAGGAAUACCGGUGGCGAAGGCGGCCCCCUGGACAGAUACUGACACUCAGAUGCGAAAGCGUGGGGAGCAAACAGGAUUAGAUACCCUGGUAG